AGUGGUGGAAGAAGUAUAUUGAAGCACCAAGGAAAGCAGGAGAAAAAGCCAUGGAAAGAGAACCUGGAGGAUGGAAAGUGUUGAAAAUCCUUUCAUGAAACAUGUUCAUGACAUAAUUUAUUUUUCCAUAAAAAUUGUGAAUUCUUGUGAUCAAAUGAAUGUGAGAUAUGUCUAGGAAUAUUUAGGAGUCAAAAUUGAGUCAAUGGUCAAAAAUUGACCAAAAGUCAACAGUUGAUCAAAAACUCAACCAUACCAAAAUGAUGUAAAUUUUUAUCAUUUUUCCUUGUAAUCCCUUAUCUUCACUUGUGUCUCAAACAAUAAGUCUUGUAUCAUGAAUAAAUGAAAUAUUAUAUGAAUUUCCA
rnacentral:lncRNA from 1 species